GACGAACGCUGGCGGCGUGCUUAACACAUGCAAGUCGAACGGAAAGGCCCUGUUUUUGUGGGGUGCUCGAGUGGCGAACGGGUGAGUAUCACGUGAGUAACCUGCCCUUGACUUUGGGGUACCUUAAGGAGACUGGGGCUCAUACCGGAUAUGAGCUCCUUCUGCAUGGUGGGUGAUGGAAAAAGUCGGCGGUUGGGGAUGGACUCGCGGCUUAUGAGCUUGUUGGUGGGGUAGUGGCUUACCAAGGCUUUGACGGGUAGCCGGACUGAGAGGGUGACCGGCCACAUUGGGACUGAGAUACGGCCCAGACGCCUACGGGAGGCAGCAGUGGGGAAUAUUGCACAAUGGGCGGAAGCCUGAUGCAGCAACGCCGCGUGCGGGAUGACGGCCUGCGGGUUGUAAACCGCUUUCGCCUGUGACGAAGCGUGAGUGACGGUAAUGGGUAAAGAAGCACCGGCUAACUACGUG
rnacentral:rRNA from 1 species